CACGGGGGGAGCGAACGUUGUUCGGAAUCACUGGGCGUAAAGGGCGUGUAGGCGGUUCGGUAAGUGGAAUGUGAAAUCCCCCGGCUUACCCGGGGAACUGCGUCUGAGACUGGCGGGCUCGAGGACAGGAGAGGAACGCGGAAUUCCAGGUGUAGCGGUGAAAUGCGUAGAUAUCUGGAGGAACACCGGUGGCGAAGGCGGCGUUCUGGACUGUUUCUGACACUGAGGAACGAAAGCCAGGGGAGCAAACGGG
rnacentral:rRNA from 1 species